UGAGGAAUAUUGGUCAAUGGGCGCGAGCCUGAACCAGCCAAGUAGCGUGAAGGAUGAGGGUCCUAUGGAUUGUAAACUUCUUUUAUAGCAGAAUAAAGUGACCCACGUGUGGGUUUUUGUAUGUAUGCUAUGAAUAAGGAUCGGCUAACUCCGUGCCAGCAGCCGCGGUAAUACGGAGGAUCCGAGCGUUAUCCGGAUUUAUUGGGUUUAAAGGGUGCGUAGGCGGAAAGAUAAGUCAGCCUGUGAAAGUUUGCGGCUCAACCGUAAAAUUGCAGUUGAUACUGUUUUUCUUGAGUGUACAUAAGGUAGGCGGAAUUCGUGGUGUAGCGGUGAAAUGCUUAGAUAUCACGAAGAACUCCGAUUGCGAAGGCAGCUUACCGGGGUACAACUGACGCUGAUGCACGAAAGUGUGGGUAUCAAACA
rnacentral:rRNA from 1 species